CGAACUCUGAGUAUUGAUUGGUGCUUGCAUCAUGAUUUACAUUUGAGUGAGUGGCGAACUGGUGAGUAACACGUGGGAAACCUGCCCAGAAGCGGGGGAUAACACCUGGAAACAGAUGCUAAUACCGCAUAACAACUUGGACCGCAUGGUCCGAGUUUGAAAGAUGGCUUCGGCUAUCACUUUUGGAUGGUCCCGCGGCGUAUUAGCUAGAUGGUGGGGUAACGGCUCACCAUGGCAAUGAUACGUAGCCGACCUGAGAGGGUAAUCGGCCACAUUGGGACUGAGACACGGCCCAAACUCCUACGGGAGGCAGCAGUAGGGAAUCUUCCACAAUGGACGAAAGUCUGAUGGAGCAACGCCGCGUGAGUGAAGAAGGGUUUCGGCUCGUAAAACUCUGUUGUUAAAGAAGAACAUAUCUGAGAGUAACUGUUCAGGUAUUGACGGUAUUUAACCAGAAAGCCACGGCUACUACGUGCCAGCAGCCGCGGUAAUACGUAGGUGGCAAGCGUUGUCCGGAUUUAUUGGGCGUAAAGCGAGCGCAGGCGGUUUUUUAAGUCUGAUGUGAAAGCCUUCGGCUCAACCGAAGAAGUGCAUCGGAAACUGGGAAACUUGAGUGCAGAAGAGGACAGUGGAACUCCAUGUGUAGCGGUGAAAUGCGUAGAUAUAUGGAAGAACACCAGUGGCGAAGGCGGCUGUCUGGUCUGUAACUGACGCUGAGGCUCGAAAGUAUGGGUAGCAAACAGGAUUAGAUACCCUGGUAGUCCAUACCGUAAACGAUGAAUGCUAAGUGUUGGAGGGUUUCCGCCCUUCAGUGCUGCAGCUAACGCAUUAAGCAUUCCGCCUGGGGAGUACGGCCGCAAGGCUGAAACUCAAAGGAAUUGACGGGGGCCCGCACAAGCGGUGGAGCAUGUGGUUUAAUUCGAAGCUACGCGAAGAACCUUACCAGGUCUUGACAUACUAUGCAAAUCUAAGAGAUUAGACGUUCCCUUCGGGGACAUGGAUACAGGUGGUGCAUGGUUGUCGUCAGCUCGUGUCGUGAGAUGUUGGGUUAAGUCCCGCAACGAGCGCAACCCUUAUUAUCAGUUGCCAGCAUUAAGUUGGGCACUCUGGUGAGACUGCCGGUGACAAACCGGAGGAAGGUGGGGAUGACGUCAAAUCAUCAUGCCCCUUAUGACCUGGGCUACACACGUGCUACAAUGGAUGGUACAACGAGUUGCGAACUCGCGAGAGUAAGCUAAUCUCUUAAAGCCAUUCUCAGUUCGGAUUGUAGGCUGCAACUCGCCUACAUGAAGUCGGAAUCGCUAGU
rnacentral:rRNA from 2 species